rnacentral:rRNA from 1 species
UACGGAGGGUGCAAGCGUUAUCCGGAUUUACUGGGUUUAAAGGGUGCGUAGGUGGGUUGGGUAGUCAGUGGUGAAAUACUUUCGCUUAACGAAGGAACUGCCAUUGAUACUCCCAAUCUUGAAUACAGUGGAGGUGGGCGGAAUGCGUCAUGUAGUGGUGAAAUACUUAGAUAUGACGCAGAACACCUAUUGCGAAGGCAGCUCGCUACACUGUCAUUGACACUGAGGCACGAAAGCGUGGGGAUCAAACAGG